AACGAACGCUGGCGGCAUGCCUAACACAUGCAAGUCGAACGAGACCUUCGGGUCUAGUGGCGCACGGGUGCGUAACGCGUGGGAACCUUCCCUUAUGUUCGGAAUAACUCCCCGAAAGGGGUGCUAAUACCGGAUAAUGUCUUCGGACCAAAGAUUUAUCGCCUUUGGAUGGGCCCGCGUUGGAUUAGCUAGUUGGUAGGGUAAAAGCCUACCAAGGCGACGAUCCAUAGCUGGUCUGAGAGGAUGAUCAGCCACACUGGGACUGAGACACGGCCCAGACUCCUACGGGAGGCAGCAGUGGGGAAUAUUGGAAAAUGGGCGAAAGCCUGAUCCAGCAAUGCCGCGUGAGUGAUGAAGGCCUUAGGGUUGUAAAGCUCUUUUACCCGGGAUGAUAAUGACAGUACCGGGAGAAUAAGCUCCGGCUAACUCCGUG
rnacentral:rRNA from 1 species